AACGCACAUUGCGCCCAUUAGUAUUCUAGUGGGCAUGCCUGUUCGAGCGUCAUUUCAACCCUUAAGCCUAGCUUAGCGUUGGGAGACUGCGCUAAACCGCAGCUCCUCAAAACCAGUGGCGGAGUCCUCUCGUACUCUGAGCGUAGUAAUUCUUUAUCUCGCUUCUGCAAGUACGGUUGACGACAGCCAUAAACCGCACCCUCUCGGGGGGGCACUUUUUAAUGGUUGACCUCGGAUCAGGUAGGAAUACCCGCUGAACUUAA
rnacentral:misc_RNA from 1 species